rnacentral:lncRNA from 1 species
GCGGCCUGUGGGUCGUCCGCUACGCCGCCGCGACCUGCAACACUUUGGGGCGAACAUCAUCGUAACGUUCUCCCUCCGCACAAGUUCGCUGCCUCGCUCGCGAGCACUUCAUGCGACCAGCCAUCUCUCAUCGCUAUUUUGCAUCGGGAUGCCAUCCGUCGAUUUGCAAAGAAAACAGAAGUUCAGUGCAUACGUCCUUCAAUUCACCAUCUCUCACAUUGUUAGUUAAAAAAGGUCGUGUUUUGUUCUAGCUUUGAUAUUGCUUUCUGAAGUUCAAUAGUAUAUGUGGGUGCAAAAAACAAGUGUUUUGAUUUGUGGUUUCAGUUUCUUCGCAGAUCCUUCUUAAAAAAUGCAACCAAAAAGGAGUUUUCUUGCAAGUUUGUGCCAUCGUGACUGCAUUAGCCUGACCAAGAUUUAUGUUUUUGUAGAAGCACAAGACGGCGCUGGCAGGUGGAUGUGUUGUAUCAGAACAUGAAGUGCUGGUUGAAGCUAGUCCCAUGCGGAGCUACUAGUGCUUCUCUUUUUGUAAUUGAUUAGCUGUUGCUGUUGUCCUAGGUUGUUUUGGUCUUAAAUUAUUCACCAUCUCUCACAUUGUUAGUUAAAACAGAAGUUCAGAAGCAUAUGAU